AUUUGGACAUCUGAAAGCAGGAUGGUGACAGGUGAGAUGGGAGAAAUAAAAUCACAGAGCUUGCAGAAGCAAAUAGCAUCAAGAAUAAAUAUGAAGGCUGAAAAAAUGUCUCUUCUUCAUCAGGAGGGGCAAGGAGGCACAAGUAGGUAAGCACACAUCCUAAUGUUCAUCUUAACUAAAGGCAAAUCUUAAUCUCCUUUGCUCUUCGUGUGGUAGCAACAUCUCCAGCUCAGCUGGCACAGGGCCAUGUGGAGGCCUAUUUAAGCUGCAGCUGCACCAUUUUUUCUUAAGGAGUUGGGCGGUGGUGUGCUUCUCCAGACACAGAGUGGAGACCCAGUGAAGAGGAGAUUGAUUUCAGGAUGAAGUGGAGGACAAUAGAGAGAAGAGACUGCUGUGCAAACAUGCUGAGCAUAAGCAAUACUAGGAAUUUUGACUGGGAAUGCUUUCAAUGGGUUGCAGCAACAAGUCGCAGUACUAGCCUUUCUAGGAAAAGGCCCUAGAGACAGAAACCCCUUCAUGAACUCUGCAUGUACCUGAGUGGGAGAAGGUGUGUGCCAGGAGGACAAGCUGGAUCCAUGUACUCACCCUGAGCCGUGAUGCACAACCACAGCCACGAGG